rnacentral:rRNA from 1 species
GGUGAACGCUGGCGGCGUGCCUAAUACAUGCAAGUCGAGCGACCAGACGAGGAGCUUUCGCCCCUGACGUUAGCGGCGGACGGGUGGGUAACACGUGGAUAAGCUUCCUCUAAGACUGGGAUAACUUCGGGAAGCCGGAGCUAAUACCGGCUCAUAUAUUCAACCGGAUGGUUCAAUAGUGCAAGAGGCUUUUGCUGUCACUUGUAGCUGAAUCCGCGCCGCAUUAGCUAGUUGGUAAGGUAACGGCUUACCAAGGCUACGAUGCGUAGCCGACCUGAGAGGAUGAUCGGCCACACUGGAACUGAGACACGGUCCAGACUCCUACGGGAGGCAGCAGUAGGGAAUCUUCCGCAAUGGGCGAAAGCCUGACGCAGCAACGCCGCGUGAGUGAUGAAGGUCUUCGGAUCGUAAAGCUCUGUUAUUAGGGAAGAAAAGAUGUGUAAGUAACUACGGACGUCUUGACGGUACCCAAAGAGUAAGCCACGGCUAACUACGUG